UACAGAGGUCCCGAGCGUUGUUCGGAUUCACUGGGCGUAAAGGGUGCGUAGGCGGUCGGGUAAGUCUGACGUGAAAUCUUCAAGCUUAACUUGGAAACUGCGUCGGAUACUAUUCGGCUAGAGGAAUGGAGGGGAGACUGGAAUACUUGGUGUAGCAGUGAAAUGCGUAGAUAUCAAGUGGAACACCAGUGGCGAAGGCGGCGUUCUGGACUGCAACUGACACUGAAAAACGAAAGCCAGGGGAGCAAACGGG
rnacentral:rRNA from 1 species